rnacentral:rRNA from 1 species
UGCAGUCGACGAUGAGCCUUUCGGGGUGGAUUAGUGGCGAACGGGUGAGUAACACGUGGGCAAUCUGCCCUUCACUCUGGGACAAGCCCUGGAAACGGGGUCUAAUACCGGAUAACACCUUCCACCGCAUGGUGGGGGGUUGAAAGCUCCGGCGGUGAAGGAUGAGCCCGCGGCCUAUCAGCUUGUUGGUGGGGUGAUGGCCUACCAAGGCGACGACGGGUAGCCGGCCUGAGAGGGCGACCGGCCACACUGGGACUGAGACACGGCCCAGACUCCUACGGGAGGCAGCAGUGGGGAAUAUUGCACAAUGGGCGAAAGCCUGAUGCAGCGACGCCGCGUGAGGGAUGACGGCCUUCGGGUUGUAAACCUCUUUCAGCAGGGAAGAAGCGAAAGUGACGGUACCUGCAGAAGAAGCGCCGGCUAACUACGUGCCAGCAGCCGCGGUAAUACGUAGGGCGCAAGCGUUGUCCGGAAUUAUUGGGCGUAAAGAGCUCGUAGGCGGCUUGUCGCGUCGGAUGUGAAAGCCCGGGGCUUAACCCCGGGUCUGCAUUCGAUACGGGCAGGCUAGAGUGUGGUAGGGGAGAUCGGAAUUCCUGGUGUAGCGGUGAAAUGCGCAGAUAUCAGGAGGAACACCGGUGGCGAAGGCGGAUCUCUGGGCCAUUACUGACGCUGAGGAGCGAAAGCGUGGGGAGCGAACAGGAUUAGAUACCCUGGUAGUCCACGCCGUAAACGUUGGGAACUAGGUGUUGGCGACAUUCCACGUCGUCGGUGCCGCAGCUAACGCAUUAAGUUCCCCGCCUGGGGAGUACGCCGCAAGCUAAAACUCAAAGGAUGACGGGGCCCGCACAAGCAGCGGAGCAUGUGGCUUAAUUUCGACGCAACGCGAA